rnacentral:tRNA from 1 species
UUCUAAAUGGCAGAAUAGUGCAUUGAAUUUAAAAUUCAAAUAUAAAUUAUAUUUUUUAGAAA